CUUCGGCACCUUUUGUUUGUCGAUCGCUGCGUAUAUAGUUAUGGAAUUAGAGUUCCAAGAGGUAUUGGUACAUUGGCAAAUCUUCACACUUGCACUGGUGUCUAUGCUGGUGCUGGCAUUGCUAGUGAAUUGAGUAGUUUGACCCAACUACGAAAACUUGAUGUUGAAGUGUCUGAUGAUCAUGCUGGUGAGCUAUUUGCAUCCAUCAUAAAACUGGAAAACCUUGUUUCCCUGUCACUAGAUGCAGAAAAACUCUGUUCGGUCACACUUCUACCUGAAUUGGAACCAUUUUCUCCUCCACCUCAUCUUCAAGAGCUUAUUUUACGUGGUGGUCUAGUUGAAAUGCCCAAUUGGCUUCCCUCUGUUGAAAACCUAACCAUUCUAGAACUAUGUUAUUCUAAUCUCUUGGAGGAGCCAUCUUCAGUUCUUCAAUAUCUUCCCAAAUUAAAACAUCUUACACUUUGGGAAGCCUACAAAGCAAAGCUCAUUGGUAAAGAGUUUUGCGAUGUAGGUGGAUUUCCGGAGCUGGAAACUUUGAUAAUUGCUUCAGAGAAUCUAGUGGAGUGGACGGAAAUUGUAAAUGGUGCUUUUCCAAGUUUGAGGUACCUUCGAUUUUAUGGUUGUAGGAAGUUGAGGUUUUUGCCUGAAGGAUUACAGAACAUUUCUACGAUUCAAGAGUUGUUUGUGAAUGUUUUGCAUUCUGACCUUGCAAGGAGAUUGAAUGGUAAAGAAAAUUACAAGAUCAAACAUAUUUCAAAAUUUCAUUGGUCCUCGGAAAUUUUUUGAGGAAGUCACUAGAAGAAGCAAGAUUUAUUAUUUACUUGUUUGACACUACGAUUCUCUAGUGCCCCAUCAAUACAGGUAAAAAUAUCCAUAUUUUAGGAUUUAAGACGAUAGAAAAUAAUAGUAUUUUCUUUGUAAAAUCUUUAAAGAUUCAGGAUGAUGGAAUUGCUGCUAUUUUUUUGGUUUUGGAUUAUCAGGUGUGCAAGUGAUCAAAGGUUAUAGUGGUUGUAACGAUUUUUUUUUUUUUAACAAUUUAUUUUAUAUAUUUUCUUAAUAAUGUUAAAAGAAUUUAAUAUCUUCUAUUCAAAUUGUUAAAAAAGAUUUAAUGUGUUCACAUAUAAAAAUAUAGAUUUAAU
rnacentral:misc_RNA from 1 species